GACGAACGCUGGCGGCGUGCCUAAUACAUGCAAGUAGAACGCUGAAGAGAGGAGCUUGCUCUUCUUGGAUGAGUUGCGAACGGGUGAGUAACGCGUAGGUAACCUGCCUUGUAGCGGGGGAUAACUAUUGGAAACGAUAGCUAAUACCGCAUAACAAUGGAUGACACAUGUCAUUUAUUUGAAAGGGGCAAUUGCUCCACUACAAGAUGGACCUGCGUUGUAUUAGCUAGUAGGUGAGGUAAUGGCUCACCUAGGCGACGAUACAUAGCCGACCUGAGAGGGUGAUCGGCCACACUGGGACUGAGACACGGCCCAGACUCCUACGGGAGGCAGCAGUAGGGAAUCUUCGGCAAUGGGGGCAACCCUGACCGAGCAACGCCGCGUGAGUGAAGAAGGUUUUCGGAUCGUAAAGCUCUGUUGUAAGUCAAGAACGGGUGUGAGAGUGGAAAGUUCACACUGUGACGGUAGCUUACCAGAAAGGGACGGCUAACUACGUGCCAGCAGCCGCGGUAAUACGUAGGUCCCGAGCGUUGUCCGGAUUUAUUGGGCGUAAAGCGAGCGCAGGCGGUUUGAUAAGUCUGAAGUUAAAGGCUGUGGCUCAACCAUAGUUCGCUUUGGAAACUGUCAAACUUGAGUGCAGAAGGGGAGAGUGGAAUUCCAUGUGUAGCGGUGAAAUGCGUAGAUAUAUGGAGGAACACCGGUGGCGAAAGCGGCUCUCUGGUCUGUAACUGACGCUGAGGCUCGAAAGCGUGGGGAGCGAACAGGAUUAGAUACCCUGGUAGUCCACGCCGUAAACGAUGAGUGCUAGGUGUUGGAUCCUUUCCGGGAUUCAGUGCCGCAGCUAACGCAUUAAGCACUCCGCCUGGGGAGUACGACCGCAAGGUUGAAACUCAAAGGGAUUGACGGGGGCCCGCACAAGCGGUGGAGCAUGUGGUUUAAUUCGAAGCAACGCGAAGAGCCUUACCAGGUCUUGACAUCCCGAUGCUAUUUCUAGAGAUAGAAAGUUACUUCGGUACAUCGGUGACAGGUGGUGCAUGGUUGUCGUCAGCUCGUGUCGUGAGAUGUUGGGUUAAGUCCCGCAACGAGCGCAACCCCUAUUGUUAGUUGCCAUCAUUCAGUUGGGCACUCUAGCGAGACUGCCGGUAAUAAACCGGAGGAAGGUGGGGAUGACGUCAAAUCAUCAUGCCCCUUAUGACCUGGGCUACACACGUGCUACAAUGGUUGGUACAACGAGUUGCGAGUCGGUGACGGCGAGCUAAUCUCUUAAAGCCAAUCUCAGUUCGGAUUGUAGGCUGCAACUCGCCUACAUGAAGUCGGAAUCGCUAGUAAUCGCGGAUCAGCACGCCGCGGUGAAUACGUUCCCGGGCCU
rnacentral:rRNA from 1 species